CUGCAGGGCCUGAGACUCCGAGCACGAACGUGGGGCCCCGCCGGCCUGUCAGGGUGAUGGGUGGCAGGCGGCCGUAGCCUGGACACCGACCCCGCCCGGAGGGCCGCGAAGAGGCGGCAGGAGGGGGCGCUGCGGGUAUCCGCGUGCGCGACGCGGAGGAAGUAACGUCUUCGCCAGCUUCGCGGUGCUGCCGCAGCCGCCCGGCGCCGCGAUGUCGUCCCGGCCGGGGCGCGACGACGCGGGGGCCCGGGGAGCACGGCGGCCGCGGGAGCCGCCAGAGCAGGAGCUGCAGCGGCGCCGAGAGCAGAAGCGGCGGCGGCACGACGCGCAGCAGCUGCAGGAGCUCAAGCACCUAGAGUCCUUUUAUGAAAAACCUCCUCCUGGGCUUAUCAAGGAAGAUGAGACUAAGCCAGAAGACUGUAUACCAGAUGUCCCAGGCAAUGAACAUGCCAGGGAAUUUCUGGCCCACGCACCAACCAAAGGACUUUGGAUGCCACUGGGGAAAGAAGUCAAAGUCAUGCAGUGUUGGCGUUGUAAACGAUAUGGUCACCGAACAGGUGACAAAGAAUGCCCUUUCUUUAUCAAAGGCAACCAAAAGUUGGAACAGUUUCGAGUAGCACAUGAAGAUCCCAUGUAUGACAUCAUACGAGAGAAUAAAAGACAUGAGAAGGAUAUAAGGAUACAACAGUUAAGACAGUUACUAGAGGAUUCAACCUCAGAUGAAGAUGAGAGCAGCUCCAGUUCCUCAGAAUGUAAAGAGAAACACAAGAAAAAGAAGAAAGAAAAACAUAAGAAAAAGAAGAAAGAAAAGAAAAAGAAGAAAAAACGAAAGCAUAAGUCUUCCAAGUCAAAUGAGAGUUCAGACUCGGAAUGACAAGAACUUGACUUGUUCAGCAUUCUCUUCUCAAAAAACUAACACUGUGGCCAAAGAUCAGAGGAAUGUGGGAUCGUAGAGGAAUAGGAGAGAGAGUCACCAAGACAGGAGGAGAUUUGGUGUCACAGCUUUGUGCCUCAGGAGAAGCAUCUCAGCCCAUCAGAGUGGUGCCUGCAGCUAAGGGAGAGUAAGUCCUAUGGUUUGCUGAGCCAAAUGGAGCUAGAUCUUGCUCACAGGUUUUUUCAGAAAGCAACAUCCAAGAAAAAAAACAAAUUUUCUUCAGUGUAUAAUAUGUAAAGUGGUUUAACAAAUGGUUAUAUCCCUAUCAUGGAAAACCACUCAGCAACAGAAAAAAAUGAAGUCUUGAUGCACAGAAAAAAAUUAGAUGAAUCUCAAAGACAUUGUGCUAAAAAGAUCAGUGGUUUCCAGUAGUAAGUUUGGAGUGAGAGUAUGACUCUAACACAGUCAUACAAGGGAACUUCUUGGAGUGAAGGAUGGUGCUCCUGGAUCCUGUUCUGUAUCCUGAUCCUGAUUUCACCUGACAAAAUUCCUUAGAACUGUAUGUCUACAAUCAAAAAAGUACUUGUGAAAACUGAUGAAAUCCAAGUAUGAUAUAUAGUGGACUUUCUAUAUUGUAGCAGUGUCAACUUAUUUGUUCUGUAAUCAUGCUGUGGUUAUAAGAUACAGUUGUAAGAUGGGACCAUUGGGGGAAGCUGUGUGAAAGCUACAUGGGAACUUUCUGUACUAUUUUUGCACCUUUCAUGGAAGUUUAAAAUUAUUUCCAAAUGAAAAUUAAAAAAAAAACAAACCAAAAACACUGGAAUGAAGAGAGAAAGAAAUACAAGAAGGAGGGAGGGAAGGAAGGAAGGAAAAUGAAGAGAUACCUCCAACCAAGAUCUUAAACCCACAUCCAACAAAUGGCCCUUUGUCAUAGGACACUACUUAACUACUUUAAACUAAGUCUAUGCCAGUUAUCCUAUCAGAGCAAAGUGUAAGGUCAUGCAUAGCAAAAUUUAUAAAUUUACAUCAAGUUCCUGCAUGUUUUUCCCAUGGUUCCUGCUAUCCCACGUGGCAUCGUGUAUCAUUAUGGACGAUAAUUUACUGAAAAACAAAGAUUAACAUACUUUAAGAGUUAAAGACGACAACAGACAAACCAAUUAUGUCGGCUGAUAGUCAGUAGCCACCACGUGUUUUCCAGUUUUGCCAAAGCCUUCAAAUGCAGAAACCACAAAAUUUUUUUUGUGAAAAGAUUUCAUACCAUUAAUUGCCUUUUCUAAAAAGUUGGCAGAUUUAAAAAUGACAACUUAGACCUCCCUUUUGGCUUCAAGAUGGACCUGAUAGUACAUUUGAACAACCUCAUGUAAAGUUUCUGACUACCCUUGUUAGUCUUUAGCAGGAUUAAUAAAUACUCUGUUCAAACAAA